rnacentral:rRNA from 1 species
CCAAUAGCGUAUAUUAAAGUUGUUGCAGUUAAAAAGCUCGUAGUUGAAUUUCGGGGUCAGCAGGUUGGUCGUGCCAAUGGUAUGCACUGGCCUUGCUGAUUCCUCCCUCUUGAUGAGCCGUAAUGCCAUUAAUUUGGUGUUGCGGGGAAUCAGGACUGUUACUUUGAAAAAAUUAGAGUGUUUAAAGCAGGCAAGCGCUUGAAUACAUUAGCAUGGAAUAAUGAAAUAGGACGUUCGAUCCUAUUUUGUUGGUUUCUAGGAUUGACGUAAUGAUUAAUAGGGAUAGUUGGGGGCAUUAGUAUUCAAUUGUCAGAGGUGAAAUUCUUGGAUUUAUUGCAGACUAACUACUGCGAAAGCAUUUGCCAAGGAUGUUUUCAUUAAUCAAGAACGAAAGUUAGGGGAUAGAAGACGAUCAGAUACCGUCGUAGUCUUAACCAUAAACUAUGCCGACUAGGGAUCGGAUGAUGUUAAUUUUUUAAUGACUCAUUCGGCGCCUUACG